rnacentral:rRNA from 1 species
UACCAGUACCCCGAGUGGUCGGGACGAUUAUUGGGCCUAAAGCAUCCGUAGCCGGUUUUACAAGUCCCCCGUUAAAUCCAGCUGCUUAACAGAUGGGCUGCGGAGGAUACUAUAAGACUAGGAGGCAGGAGAGGCAAGCGGUACUCAGUGGGUAGGGGUAAAAUCCGUUGAUCCAUUGAAGACCACCAGUGGCGAAGGCGGCUUGCCAGAAUGCGCUCGACGGUGAGGGAUGAAAGCUGGGGGAGCAAACCGG